UCAAGAGCUUCAUCUACAUAAACAACUUCAUUUACACUGUCACCCUGCAAGGCAACAUCAAUCUCAGCACAAACAACACAAAGGUUAGUGUCAGUACAAUCAUCACAUGAAUAAACAUCAUCAAAACCAGAUAAAGUUGGAAAAUCAGCUGAAAACAAAUCAGAAUAAGCUUCAUUAACAACUUUAGAAAACAACUCUAUUUGAAAAAC
rnacentral:lncRNA from 1 species